rnacentral:rRNA from 1 species
GACGAACGCUGGCGGCGUGCUUAACGCAUGCAAGUCGAGCGAGGCCCUCCUUCGGGAGGUGUCCUAGCGGCGAACGGGUGAGUAACACGUGGGCAACCUGCCCUCAGCUCUGGGAUAACCCCAAGAAAUUGGGGCUAAUACCGGAUAUGACCGCUGACCGCAUGGUCUGGUGGUGGAAAGAUUCAUCGGCUGAGGAUGGGCCCGCGGCCUAUCAGCUUGUUGGUGGGGUAGUGGCCUACCAAGGCGACGACGGGUAGCCGGCCUGAGAGGGUGACCGGCCACACUGGGACUGAGACACGGCCCAGACUCCUACGGGAGGCAGCAGUGGGGAAUAUUGCGCAAUGGGCGGAAGCCUGACGCAGCGACGCCGCGUGGGGGAUGACGGCCUUCGGGUUGUAAACCUCUUUCAGCAGGGACGAAGCGAAAGUGACGGUACCUGCAGAAGAAGCACCGGCCAACUACGUGCCAGCAGCCGCGGUAAAAC